GAGAGGUGUGUGUAAUGCGUGUGUCUGUGUGUUCAUAGUGGUUGCAGUCUGGCGAGUUAUAAAUCACUUUCACACACUAAACUGCACAGAUUUCCACACACAGGCCUGACUGAAGAAGAGGAUCUUGCCAUGUCCAGUGAUGUUAACAGGCAGGCUGUAUUACAAGCACUAAAAGUUCAAACCCAUUUGAAACAAGAUGGAAGCUGGAUCAACAGAUCUCAAGAUGUUCAGGACACACAGUCAUUAAGUAAAAGCACGGUAAAUGCAGGUUUUCGCUGUCAUCUGCUGGCUGAGAGUGGUAGCAUCAACUAACCAAAGGUCUUUCUCAUGUUUGCUUGAACAGUAAAAUUGAUCAGUGUGAACAUCGCUGUCUCUCUCACUCUCACUUUAUUCUGUUUACUCUCCACAGGAAGCCAGUAAAGCUAGUAAAGCCUAAGAAUGUGUCAUCAUCUGAGG